AACCUGGGAGGCGGAGCUUGCAGUGAGCCCAGAUUGCACCAUUGCACUCCAGCCUGGGCAACAGAGCGAGACUCGGUCAAAAAAAAAAAAAAAAAAAAGCAAGACUUUCCUUUUCUGAAGAUCAUACAGAGGUCUCAAAUGAGUCUGAAGUCACCUGCCCUAUCUGGACAUUCCAUAGACUACCACUUUUACCCACGACUUCGAUGUGGCAUGCUCAUUGGACCAGAUAAGCAAGCAGUGGCAAGUGGAUUGGAGGUCUUGGUAACCAGUUCAACCAAAAUCCUGGGACAGCUGUUCCCUGAUGCGGCACACUUCCUAGAAGAAGCAAGUGAAUUUAAAGCAGAGUGAACUGUAGAGGAGUUCACGACCAAAUCUCUGAUGCUUUCCCCAGAUCUUUCUUCAGGGCCAACACAUCCAUUGCUCAGCUGUGAUAGACAGCAGUCAGGGGUGGCUCACCUCUCUCACUGGGAAUUGCUCUCAGCAGUAGGGAACUCAUUCAGGGUUAAGGCAUCUCCUUGAGGAGGCCCAUGUUCAAUUACUGGUUGACACAGGAAUAUGAAGGCCUGGCCCUCGUCUCAGCUUGGAAUAAAUCUGAAGGCCCAUCACAGCUUCAGAGAUGCUUGGAGAAGGCUGAGGUCUCCCCUGUAACCUUAUGAGAACCUUGAGUUGUUGAACUCAUUAAUUCUUUGGGACCAUCUUCCUGAUGUUCAAGUUUGUGAAACAGGCUUUCCCUUUAAGAUUUGUUUUCCUCAAAAUACAAGACUAUUGAUGCUUCAGUUUUGAAGUGGAUUCUGCACUCAAGAAAUGUACCAUUGAAGAAUGGGACUGGUAGGAAGGGAAAAAAACUAAAAGGAAACGCAUUUUCGAGUUGCACAUCAUGAUCAGGCACAGAGUCCAGAUACACUUGGAGUAGCAAGCAUCCAUCCUUGUGGAGACGCACAUGAACCAGGACUCUCUGCACCCACCCCUCUCAAGUUUUAUUUUCCGACGGCUGUAAUGUUCCAGGACACCUGCCAUCAUGGAGGGUUAUCCAGCACCUGGAGGAUACCUGCUACCUAACAAAUUCUCACAUGGGAACCGAGCAAAGUGUAAUGGAUGUUCCCAGGAGCUGCCUAUGGGAUUCAAGAAAACUGUAUGAGAGGAGUAACAUUUGGGCUGGAAGCGAAAAUACAAGUAAACAUAUGUCAAAUGGGCUUGCCAGGAAACUGCUACAAUUUUCAAGAGCGCCUUUGAAAGCU
rnacentral:lncRNA from 1 species